UGCAAAUGAGUAUGAUUAAAAGGUAUAAUAUUACAUAGACUUCUGCUGCAUACAUAGUGUGUGUGUGUGUGUGUGUGUGUGUGUGUGUGUGUGUGUGGAGACUGGUGCUCAUGUUGUUAAAUGACAAGAUCAAAUGCUUACUGGUUGCUGUGUCCGAAUGUGUGAGGUUUGCCAGAGCUGCUGCUGGUGUUUCCAGCAUUCAGUGCUGAUCGAGGGGCGCCUGCAGGGGUGAGCAUCAGAGAGAGGGAAAGAGACAUAUAGACACAGUGAGAGAGAAAGAGUGAGACCCAGGUGUGCGGGCCCACUAGGGAUGUAUGAAAAAUGAGCAGGAAGGGGGGUGUAGCUGUAGAUGACAGGGAAUUGGUGCUGGUAGAAGCUGGCAGCGGUGCCCAAGAUUUAGGAGGAGGCAUGUUGGCACAUCAGCAGCAUUGAUGCAAGAAUUCCUUGCCACCAGCAUCCUGGUCCCUUUAGCAUGUUUGCUUUCCUGCAUUGUGUCCAUCCCAAAUCUGAGAUCUCUCUAUUUAGCAGACAUUAGUGGAGUUAAUGUGGGAGAAAUGAGCUCUAUGACCACCAAGUCCAACUUGGCACAAAGACACCCACCGGACUGAGGAAACAGGGACUUGGAAGCUGAGAAAUAGCUGAUAGAAGCUCAUCAUGUCCUUGGGCCGAGAUCACCCCUACAUCUCCUCCGCAGCCACAACCGAGGGAGUGUUUUGGGGGUUUCGGGGUCAUCCCUGGGGUCACUAGUAGUGUGGCAGCUGUGGCUAGGGAGUCGUGAUGCCGCACAUUCACUAAUGUGUCUCAUCCCUUAUGGGAUGAGGGGAUGGUAACCUGGCACUACCCCAAACCAUGGUGGGGUGAUUGUGACAGUGUGUGUUUGUGUGUGUAAAGGGGGAGUAGAGGGGCAUCUAGCUUCACUGCCAGCCAAAUCGGUGCCCUAUCAUACCUCAGCUGUGCUGAGCAGGGAGGAGAUGCAAGGGCUACGGCCACAGGGUGGUUGAAGGGGGUGGGGGCUGAUGCUUCUCAACAAGUCCAAAACAACCUUCAGGUCACCUUGCCAAAAUAAAUGCUAAAUGUCAACAAUGUGGCUUUAGCCAGCACCGGGUUAGAGGCAUCUCCAAUCAUGCAGGCUUUGAUCUGAUAUUGAAACCCCAGAGUAGAGCUUGUUUGGAAUUAUGAUAUUUUAGAGUGACUUUGCCAGCCAUUUGUUUAUGGAUUAGUCUUAAGUAAGGGCCACCUGCUAUGCUUUUUCAUAGGCUAAAUGCAUGUAAUCAAAAUGCAAUAUUAAAGCCCUUUCCCUUUAAGAUAUCAAAUUCUCCAUCACUCUUUUUCCUCUAUGGUCAAAUGACAUCCAAUAGCCUUUCAAAGUCAUCAAGCCACACCUCCCUCCAUACCUUUGUCAUUCUCCCCCUCCCUUCCUCCUUUUCUCACUGUCAGACAUGUGAGGUGAUGACCUGCACUUCACUUGUCUUUCUGGAAGAAGUGCAAACUUCUGCUGGCACAAAUAUGAAAUACAGCACACACACACACACACACACACACACACAGACCCUUCCACCCCCACCAGACUCCCGAACCCCAUCUGCACUCUCCUCUCUCCAGCCCCCUAAUUGCAUAUGCACAAAUGCAAAUGCCUAUUAAUUAAUUACUUGACUAAUUAGUGCAGUGGUAUUUUAGAGCGAUAAAUCAAGUGGAGAUGGGGCCGAGGACGGUGGGGCAGGAGGAGGGCUGCACGGAGCAUCAACAAUGAACCCACACCAGAGGGAGUGCUCCUAUUGUACAAGUCCUGUGUGUGACUGGGAGUGUGCGGUGAAGAGGAUGUGCACACUGCUGGAGCUUCUGAAGUGAAGCACUGUUUAAAAAUGCUGAAGAGCCUGAAGAGGUGACUGAGUGAGACAGUGUGGUCCUAAUUGCAGCAUCAGAAAGCUCCACCUCUCCCUCUCGUCUGACUUGGCUGCAGUGGAGACAAACCUCAUCUGGGAGCAGGAUGCCUCUGUGGUGUGUGUGUGUGAAGCUCUGGAGUUUUUCAUCAGUUCCCGUGCCAACCCAACCCGUGCCUGGCCAAGCUGAACCAUCUUGUGGGAUUUUUGGCUUUUAAUUAUAGGAUUAUCCCAUCACGCGCUGUGUUGUUCCAACACAUUCCAGAUGGAUAUUGAUUCCCUGGUGUCUGACGUUGCAAUGAUACAACAAGCUGAGGAGGUAAUCCUCUUUCUCUCCCUCUGUUUUCUGUCAUAUUUUGUAUGUACAGUGCUCAGUGCACCAUUUUUAGCCAGUAUCACAGAGGGGACCUAGUGGUUUAAAAACCCUCAUUUGAUCAGACAAUCUGCAAUCUGGCUUCAAGUGAAACAUCCACCAUGCAAAAAUAGUAUUUCAAAACGUUACAGUCCUAGAUUGCAAAGUUCUUGUUUAAAUACAACAACAACAACAAAGUAUGUACAUGAAAGAUAAAAUAAGAGAAAUAAACACAAGUAAGAGUAUUAAAAAGCCCAGGAACAAACUAAAACAACAGGAAGAUAGUAAAAUUCCUUCAAGAAAAAAAAA